rnacentral:rRNA from 1 species
UGGGGAAUCUUGCACAAUGGGCGAAAGCCUGAUGCAGCAACGCCGCGUGCGGGAAGACAGCCCUAGGGUUGUAAACCGCUUUCAGCAGGGAAGAAACUGACGGUACCUGCAGAAGAAGAUGCGGCCAACUACGUGCCAGCAGCCGCGGUGACACGUAGGCAUCAAGCGUUAUCCGGAUUUAUUGGGCGUAAAGAGCUCGUAGGCGGUUCGGUAAGUCGGGUGUGAAAACUCUGGGCUCAACCCAGAGAGGCCACUCGAUACUGCUGUGACUAGAGUGCGGUAGGGGAGCGGGGAAUUCCUGGUGUAGCGGUGAAAUGCGCAGAUAUCAGGAGGAACACCAGUGGCGAAGGCGCCGCUCUGGGCCGGAACUGACGCUGAGGAGCGAAAAGCGUGGGGAGCGAACAGGAUUAGAUACCCUGGUAGUCCACGCCGUAAAACGGUGGGCGCUAGGUGUGGGGAUCGUUUCCACGAUCUCCGUGCCGUAGCUAACGCAUUAAGCGCCCGCCU